rnacentral:lncRNA from 1 species
CAUCAUUUCAUCAAAGAAGUGCCUGUUUGAAUUAACAGCUCAGAUGUAUGCGGUGGCCUUUGUUAGAAAAAAAACAUUGAGCUCCCUCUGGUAGGUAGAAGACAGCUGGCAGGUACUUAGUGCCUUGUCCUGAGAGAGGAGCUCCUGGCUGAAGGAAAAAAAAGCCUGUACUCUCUUCCAACAAGAGGCACUGUGGGACCUUUAAUGUGGCUGUGGGACUGGCUUUUACUGGCUCUUAAAAAGGAAAGAAAGAAAAACAAAAGCAAACAACACAACUGUACUCAAUACAUAUUAUGAUGUGUUCUUUAUUUGGAAAGCUAAAGGAGGAAAAGGGAUCAAGGAACACUGCCAUCAGGUGUUACAGCCGCGUACAUCUUCCUUGCUAAUGCUAAAAGGAACUGCCAGACCCUGGAACUUAUGGCUCUGCUAGACUUAUCUUUUCUAUCAGCACUGAUGUGGUUGGAAUACUCUUCCUCAACAUGGAAAGGUGAGUGAAAAGCAUAAUUUUUCACUGAUUCAUAACAGGAGAUCUUGCAUACUAAAUGUACC